AACGAACGCUGGCGGCAUGUCUAACACAUGCAAGUCGAACGAUUGCCUUCGGGUGAUAGUGGCGCACGGGUGCGUAACGCGUGGGAAUCUGCCCUUAGGUUCGGAAUAACAGCUGGAAACGGCUGCUAAUACCGGAUGAUAUCGCGAGAUCAAAGAUUUAUCGCCUGAGGAUGAGCCCGCGUUGGAUUAGGUAGUUGGUGGGGUAAAGGCCUACCAAGCCGACGAUCCAUAGCUGGUCUGAGAGGAUGAUCAGCCACACUGGGACUGAGACACGGCCCAGACUCCUACGGGAGGCAGCAGUGGGGAAUAUUGGACAAUGGGCGCAAGCCUGAUCCAGCAAUGCCGCGUGAGUGAUGAAGGCCCUAGGGUUGUAAAGCUCCUUUACCCGGGAAGAUAAUGACUGUACCGGGAGAAUAAGCCCCGGCUAACUCCGUG
rnacentral:rRNA from 1 species